AGAAGUGAGAGGAAGGGUGGAGCAGAGGAAGUGAGAACCCUCCAGAGAGGUGGAGCUGGACAGUUUUGCAGCUGUGCUGGUACCUGGAGCCUGGGCAGGCUGGGAGUCUGGCUUAACCCCACAGCCUACAUGCUGGCACCAAGUGGGGGUCAAGCCUAGGGCCCUCUGCUCCCAGGACAUAAGUGCCCCUCACUAUUUGGAUCUGAUGGAAGAACCAGAAUCCCAGCAGAAGUGCUGAGUCAUGUGGGGGAGUUUGCUGGCAUAACUUCUCCCCACCUGCGCCCAAGGCAUUGUUGAGAAAAGAAAGUCUGCUGCCACCCAAGAGACCCAGAGUCAGAACAACGGUGUGAUCUGAACAAGAUGAAGGGGUGGUUUCACGAUAAGAAUAAACUGCAGGCUUCUUCUGCUCCUUCUAGAGGCCUGAUAUCUCCACGGUAACUCCAGAAACUCCAAGAGGAGAUGAAGAGAAUCCAGGAAGUCACCAGCUGUGGUGAACAUUGUGCCUAACUCGACACUCUUUGUUUUGCCCAUUUCUGCUGCCACUCUAAGAAAAGCCAUUACGGGGUGAACUCCUGGGCUCCCAGGGCUGCUCCACGUCAACACCAAAUCUAGAAACCUCUGGUACUGGAUUUAACUACCCCUGGGGUUGCUAUGAAGAUGAAGUUCCAGGAUACUGGAAGGCCGAGGGUGGAAACCAAGUUAGUGACAAGUCAGGAGGAGAAGAUGGGGUGAGCUCUCUUGUAAAACAGAGCAGGGAGCUGGACCUACUGUUUCAGAGUGAGCAGGCGAUGGCAAGCAGGGAGACACACUGUGUCGCCGGCUCACACCCACUCCUGCCGCCUGCUGCCUGCGAUGGCCACGCCUCCUGAAAAGGCUGGAUUCAGGGUGGCCGCUCAACUUCGCAGCACCUGCUAUCUCCACUCUGUGCCCACUCCUUUGCCUGCCAUGUCUCCUACACACACUGAAAGGGCCCUAUCAAUUUCAUUUGGUUCAGAUCCAUUUCAAUGCUCAGAACCCUAAUGUGGUCUGCAGAGCUUGAAUCCAGAUGGCCUUGGGUUGCCUUGCACCAGCCCUGUACUGUGCUGGUCUCCCAGUCUGUUUUGACUCCUCGACCUGAGGCAAGAAUCUUCCAAUGACCUGGAUCCUCCUACUUAGAGAACGAGGAGGGCAGGUGAUGAGAAUAAGGGGGCUAUCAAUGGAAAAGUAGAGCAACAAGAUCUUACAAAUACAGGGAGAACGUCCAUAGAGCUUGCAGGGUUUUGUAGGGAUCAAGGGGCACAGUGGGUAGGUAGAAAGUUCCAGUCCCUAGGAAAUUAGAAAACUCUCCAUGUAUCGUCUCCACACUAACAGCACCAAGCAGCAGCCCACAGUCACCAACACCGGCUUCUGCUUACUGGUCAAGAGGAAGACAUCCCAGGGAGAUUUGAGAUUCGCGACAUAGCAGUUUGUGACUAUCAGGUGCUGACCUCUCUGAGAAGCACAAGGUGACACACCUCAACAUCCAGACACAUCUACAUGGUUUCCAGAGGGCAUCUCUAUGACAGGGGCCCUCCAAUGGCAGCAGGAGGCCCCUGCAUAUGGUUCAGGGAACCAGAUUCCUCUUGUGGGGCACAAAUGGAAUAUGAGGCAAUGCCACCAUUUAGGGGCCAGCACAGCGACUCAGGGAACAAGGAGCUUAGAGCAAAGCAAGUCACAUGCUGUUAAGGCUACGUGACUACUACAGCCUGCACAAGAUGUUGUCACCCACUUGUCAAGACUCCAGAGAAGCCAAAAUAAAGAAAAGAGCCCCUGGCAAACAAAAUGAUGCCUGAAACCCACAUACUAAGCUUCUGCCUGUCACCUAUGGGAAAGCCCUUGUCCCUGCCCCGUGGCCCAGCCACUGAAAGCCUAUUUACUUUAAUUUUAUAAACAAACUUGUUUAUUUAAUUUCUCAUCCCAGAGGAGUUGAAAAGGGCACUGGGAUUAAUAGUGGCAGGUUCCUAAAAGACUUCCAGAAGUGACAACUAGCAGCCAUGAAUUAGACCAGGGAUACACACAUUUUUUCUAUAAAGGGUCAGACAGUCAAUAAUUUUAGCUUUGCGACUACUCUACUCUGCUCUGUAGCACGAAAGCGGCCCCUGAUAAUAUGUAAAUGAGUGGGUAUGGCUAGGUGCCAAUGAAACUAGAUUUAUAAAAACAGACGACGGGGACGUAGGCUUUAGUUUUUUGAUCCCUUGAUUACACAAAAAGUAUCAAAACAUGAUAUUAAAACCACUGGAAAAGCACAGCAGUCUGGGGCUAUUUAGGACAGGGGCAAACAGCAGACACACCUCAACAGAUCUGACCAGUGUCCCCAGACUGUGGCCUGGGCUCAGGAUUCCUUGCACUGGUUAGAAAAGGCACUGUGUAUUUUAGGAAGAUUUCCACUGAAUGGUCAACAUUUUCAGAGGGCUGAUACUUAAAGGUAUAAGGUGGCAAAGUCACUUACUGGGGAAACCCCUCAUUCUUCAGCAAUGGGAGAAAUGAGACGCAUUGUGCGGGUGACGAGCUGAGUUACACAUGUCUGGACCAAGUGGGGAGUGCUGUGCCCCAGAGGGUCAAGAGCCAGACAUCUCGCCAUCACCCUGGAGACCUGCUUAGCACAGAGACAAACAGAUGAACCUAGAAACCCAGUCAUCGCCCUGCUAAAUGGAAACAGAGAACAGCAGCAAGGUGGAGGGUGCCACCUCAAAGGUGCUCCGACCCAGGCCGCUUGUCUGCACACAACUAGCAUUUGCUGUCACCCUGCUUCAUUUGUCACCUCGAUGUUAUGGGACUUUGCAUUCUAUUGUGCACUUUUUCCCCUCUGUUUGUUUAUGGUUGGUCUUCCUUGCUGACUACCGAAUGGCUGGCACACAGAACAGUUCCAACAGCACCUGGCACGCAGUAGGUGCCCAGUAAAAAGUGUCUGUGGAGUGCGGAUGAAUGGAGUUAUUAAUGGAUGCUUGUCUUUUCCUGGCUUUUCUGAUUUCUGGCCCCUCUCAUGAUUGGGCUCUCAAUACCUGAAAUAAGAAAUGGGGAGUGGGAGGAAGUGGCACUUGCUGAGCACCUGCCAUGGCCAUGCCGAAUGCGCUACACGCGCUGCCUCCCUUCAGGCCCAGAGUGGACCCUCUGGCGGCAGGCCUCCCAGGACUGAGACCUCGAGGGGGGGUCUUAUCUGAGGUCACGGGACUUGUGUCCGGGUCUGUCUGACUGUGGAUUUUGCUUUGGCAUACUAUGCCCCACUCUGGGGACAGUAACCAGCUUCUGCCCUUGAACUCAGUCCUUACGUUCUAGCUGGAGCCCGCCAGCCACUGGGAAAUGAUGGCAGAAGUGGAAAAAGAGGCUGAGGAGCUGAUGAUGGAUAGGGAGGGUGGCUUCUGUAGAGCUAGCAUUCUAGAGGUUUCUGACACCUGCCAUGAGGAGGAACACUCCAGAACCCCCAUGAUGUUGGAAAGCCCAGUUCAGACGCUCCCCAUCCCCUUGGCAAAAGGCCCAAGCAUCCAAAUGGCCCUACUCAACGGUUGGAAAGAGGGAGCGGGCAUGGUCACUGAGUCUCCCUGGGAAGUCCCAGACCAAGAGGUCACAGCCAUGAGGGGACCACUUUUCCAGACCAGUGGGGUACAGAUUGGGUUGUACUUCAGGUAAUUGAGUAGCUUCAACAUCUGAGCUUCUCAAGAAAGCCAGGCCUACUGUCAACCAGGAGAUGACAGCCAAGACGCCUCUGCAGAAGAUGCAAGCGGCAAAGCCACGGCGCGGACCAUUCCACAGAAAGCAUUGGAGGCCUCCCAGGAACGCGUCAGGGGACAGGGAGCACGGGAGCGAGUGAUUCAUGCCGCAGAGCCUGCCAAUGCUCAUGGGGAGGAGAGCGACUCACCCCGCUGGGACAAAUAUUAUUUUUAAAAGUCUGGGAAAGGAAAACAACAAUAAAACCACCCGAGCUCAGGAUGACUGGUGAGGUUUGAGAUGCAGGGAAGGGUUGAAAUCAAUCUGCGAGUUGGACAUUUGAGGCCAAAUAAACCAACAAAGAACUCGAUUCAAUUACAAAAGUUUAGAAUUGGAUGGUGAGUCAGAAGCUGAGAGCCCAAGAGGUCUAAUCGGGUCUGUGCAUGGCCUGGAGUCCAGGACCCAGAGGAAUGGACUCUGGAAGGCUGGUUCCUGGUGGCGAUAGGAAAAGGCAGAACAUGUGAGUCAGAGCACGCAAAUGUGACAGUCCAAGUGGGGACAGCCCUUGGACAUCUUGGUGUAUGUAGGUAGGAGACUCUUUUCUUAAUAAGAAACCCAAUUAGGACCAGAUAGGAUUUGGGGUGUAGCAAAACCAAGGAGCCUGAGGCAGAAGUGAAGAGAAAGAAGCGAAAAAUCAAUGGUCAGGAGGCCCCUUGCAACAGCCACUGUUUAUCUCACAAGUGCGUUAAAGAGCAUCAUUUGCAAAGUUCGCGCAGAGGGAAAAGUCAAUGAUUGUGUCUCUGGCGACGCACAAAGCCCAGGAUGUGCUUCAUCUCCCAGCUGCCUCUCUGUGCAUGCACAGGAGAGGGACUGUUUGUGUGAAUCUCGGCUGCACCUCCCCCGUCCUCACUUCCUCCUCCUCCAUUCCAUUUGGAAGACGGGGAAGUGUGGUCACAGCUUUUUCUGAGGCACAGUGACUAUUCCAGCAGACCUGUGGUGACGUGUGCCUUGGGGUGGGUGUGGGGUGGGGAAUUUAUUGUUAGACGAAAAAUAAUCAAAGGUUUUCACACCCUCACGGGGCAAGGUGGGAAAUAAUUAAAACCAGACUAGGAUUCUCUGGCUGGAUUCAAGUCCCCCAUUAAACAGAAAUUCUGUCUGGA